GGAAUGAGGAGCUCUGCUUUGUCCUAAUUCGCCUGGCAGCUCUGUGAAGGAAAGGUGACAUGGAAAUUGAGUGAAAAAGGACAGAUUGAGUCCUCAGAUGGAAAGUCUUGAAUGGAUGGGGGUGAAUCAAAUGCCCAAGGCCUGGAAUCACCUGGAAUCAUCUCUACAGUAUGUGAUUAGUGCUGUGGCUGGCUUGGUCUGAAGACUGUCUAAGAGACCACCUAUCUGUGGCCUCUCUAGGACCCUUGGGCUUUUUGUAUCACAGAGAUUGGCUUCAGAGGAUGCUUGCAAAUGGGAAGCAACCAGGGGAAAGAGUCCUUUAAGAGACCAAAGCAGAAGAUACAAGGUUUUUUGACCUGUACUCUACUGAUUGAUAAGGCCAUAAUACUGCCCAGAUUCAAGCCAAGAGGUUGUAGGCCCCACCUCUCAAUGGAACGAGUGUCAAUAUAUUCAUACCAUGAUGUGAUAUUGGAAGAUUAUGAUUCACCGUACACUCAGUGUCUGAAAGUAUUAAGAUGUCCUUUCACAUUUAACAUAACUGUGACAGCUGUCUGGCAAUCAUGGGAAAUAAUGAUGUGGAAUACAUUCAAAAAUGACCCGGGUGUCAUCUGAUACCAUUUGUCAUAUAGAGAUUUCAUUCCUGCUAAAAUGCCCAUGAAAAUUAUAUGGAUCAGUUUAUUUUUCUUGGAUUUAUAUAUGGAGAUAAUCUCAUACUUAGAAAAAUGAUAUGAAUUUGUAAAGAGCGUAUCAGAGAAAAUGUAC